UGGGGAAUCUUGGACAAUGGGGGCAACCCUGAUCCAGCCAUGCCGCGUGAGUGAUGAAGGCCUUAGGGUCGUAAAGCUCUUUCGCCUGUGAAGAUAAUGACGGUAGCAGGUAAAGAAACCCCGGCUAACUCCGUGCCAGCAGCCGCGGUAAUACGGAGGGGGUUAGCGUUGUUCGGAAUUACUGGGCGUAAAGCGCACGUAGGCGGACCAGAAAGUUGGGGGUGAAAUCCCGGGGGCUCAACCCCGGAACUGCCUCCAAAACUAUUGGUCUAGAGUUCGAGAGAGGUGAGUGGAAUUCCAAGUGUAGAGGUGAAAUUCGUAGAUAUUUGGAGGAACACCAGUGGCGAAGGCGGCUCACUGGCUCGAUACUGACGCUGAGGUGCGAAAGUGUGGGGAGCAAACAGGAUUAGAUACCCUGGGUAGUCCACACCGUAAAACGAUGAAUGCCAGUCGUCGGGUAGCAUGCUAUUCGGUGACACACCUAAC
rnacentral:rRNA from 1 species